AAAAUGUACUUCCUGUUUCAUGCCUUGAACCGGAAGUACAACGGUCCAUCGUGUUUUUGCCUCAAAGGGUUCUCAUUUAUCACUCCAAGCAAUGUGUGAUCACGGUCUCAGGGGAAACCCGUGGAAUCCUGGGAAUGGCUGUGGACAUCUAAAGUGAGUCUACUGCUAUCCAGAUUCUGUCAUCCCAGCCCCCUUACGCUGUGCCCAGCCCUCUCUCGUACUCCAGGGAUUUCUUGGGGGAGAGGAAAUCGUCAUCAUGGUCUUUCAUGUCAUCCAUCUUCAUGUACCUGGCCCCUUCUGUCCCCAGGAGCUCCUCUCCUUCAGAGAACAACAUGUCAAAAAGAGGAACAGACCCAGAUCAGGUUGGUCACAAAAAAAAGGGGAAAGAGAGAGAGAGAAGUGCAAGGUGUUAAUUAGCUGUUAGAAAGGUUAAGAAAUGGAAACAAGGCAAAAUGAAGCAUGGAUGGUGUGGAUCAGCAUUUGUUUCAGCAUCAAUACAAACAUCAGGCCCUUUUCCACCCAGGUAAAUAAAGUGCUAAAAAGAACAUUAAGUUCCUGAACUUUUGGUGGAAAAGGGCCAAUAGAUGUCUUCUGAAACGCCCCCUUAUCAAAAAUACAAAUUGUGUUAACUACACAUAAGGAUGACAACAAUCACACACAUUAUGAGAACAGAAAGUCAACUGACAAAUGUUUAGAGUUGCUUACUUACGCCCCAAAAUUAUACGCAAUUUGAUAUUACAAAGGUAAUAAAGAUUCAUAUUUUUUUGUAAAAAUGUCGGGAAAUUACGCCUGUAUACUAAACUGUUGUUACAAAAUACGA